rnacentral:rRNA from 1 species
GACGAACGCUGGCGGCGUGCCUAAUACAUGCGAGUAGAACGCUGAAGGAGGAGCUUGCUUCUCUGGAUGAGUUGCGAACGGGUGAGUAACGCGUAGGUAACCUGCCUGGUAGCGGGGGAUAACUAUUGGAAACGAUAGCUAAUACCGCAUAAUAGUAGAUGUUGCAUGACAUUUGCUUAAAAGGUGCAAUUGCAUCACUACCAGAUGGACCUGCGUUGUAUUAGCUAGUUGGUGGGGUAACGGCUCACCAAGGCGACGAUACAUAGCCGACCUGAGAGGGUGAUCGGCCACAAUGGGACUGAGACACGGACAAGACUCCUACGGGAGGCAGCAGUAGGGAAUAUUCGGCAAUGGACGGAAGUCUGACCGAGUAACGCCGCGUGAGUGAAGAAGGGUUUCGGAUCGUAAAGCUCUGUUGUAAGAGAAGAACGAGUGUGAGAGUGGAAAGUUCACGCUGUGACGGUAUCUUACCAGAAAGGGACGGCUAACUACGUG